UUGAAUGAAAGGAGAUGCCAUGAGCACGUUGGGGAAUGCGUGACUGGAGGACAUAUGGUCAGUGAGCAAGUCGCGGGCUGUGAAAUGCAGCUCUUCAGCCUGAGUUGGGGAGAGGGAAGAAGCCCAAUUUUAGCCUAAACCCUGUGCUGCUGCGUUUACUUGGGAACUGAUGGCAGACAUUGCAAGCAUCUUGUGGAACAAGAUGGUUUGAAAACCUUGGGUCUGCGCUCACGUUAAGGAUCCAAAUUUAUAAGAGGGUCUUUUUUUUUUUUCUUUUCUCUGUGUUUGUUUCUCGUUUGGCUUCUCUUGGUGGCUAGGAAAGCCUGUCUGUUUUGGGCAGAGGAAAAAAAGAGAGAAGGCUCCUUCUGUUGGUUGAGCCAGCGCAUCUAGGACACAGCGGCACGCUUGAGGGAUGGCACGCUUUGACCAAAGCAAGGGCAAGCCCCACAGAGAGACUUCUCAGCAUGCCAAGGGCUUCCUGGUGUCCUUUCUGGUACUGAAACCCAGAAGCCAUACACACACUAGCCAGAAUGAAACAUGGAGAGAUCUUUCUUUCAGAACAGAAAUGAAAAAGGGCAUCAAACAUGACACCAUAAAGAAUGUCAGGGAUGAAACAGAGAAACGAGCGUAUAAGACGUGUCAUGAGACAGCGUG
rnacentral:lncRNA from 1 species